rnacentral:rRNA from 1 species
GACGAACGCUGGCGGCGUGCUUUACACAUGCAAGUCGAACGGUGAAGGUGGAGCUUGCUCCGCCGGAUCAGUGGUGAACGGGUGAGUAACACGUGGGCAACCUGCCCCUAACUUUGGGAUAACUACUCGAAAGAGUAGCUAAUACCGGAUAUGAAGUCUGUAGGCAUCUAUGGAUUUGGAAAGUUUUUCGGUUAGGGAUGGGCCCGCGGCCUAUCAGCUUGUUGGUGAGGUAGUGGUUCACCAAGGCGACGACGGGUAGCCGGCCUGAGAGGGCGACCGGCCACACUGGGACUGAGACACGGCCCAGACUCCUACGGGAGGCAGCAGUGGGGAAUAUUGCGCAAUGGGCGAAAGCCUGACGCAGCAACGCCGCGUGCGGGAUGAAGGCCUUCGGGUUGUAAACCGCUUUCAGCAGGGAAGAAGCGAAAGUGACGGUACCUGCAGAAGAAGCACCGGCUAACUACGUGCCAGCCGCCGCCGUAA